rnacentral:rRNA from 1 species
CCUACGGGAGGCAGCAGUGAGGAAUAUUGGUCAAUGGUCGGGAGACUGAACCAGCCAAGCCGCGGGAGGGAUGAAGGUACAGAGUAUCGUAAACCUCUUUUGUCAGGGAACAAAGGCGGGGACGUGUCCCCGGCUGAGUGUACCUGAAGAACAAGCAUCGGCUAACUCCGUGCCAGCAGCCGCGGUAAUACGGAGAAUGCGAGCGUUAUCCGGAUUUAUUGGGUUUAAAGGGUGCGCAGGCGGUCUGUUAAGUCAGCGGUCAAAGCCCGGGGCUCAACCCGGGCCCGCCGUUGAAACUGGCAGUCUCGAGUUGGAGAGAAGUAGGCGGAAUGCGCGGUGUAGCGGUGAAAUGCAUAGAUAUCGCGCAGAACUCCGAUUGCGAGGGCAGCAUGCCGGCUCCACACUGACGCUGAGGCACGAAAGCGUGGGUAUCGAACAGGAUUAGAUACCCCAGAAGUC